AUUGAACGCUGGCGGCAGGCCUAAAACAUGCAAGUCGAGCGAGAGGCGGACGGGGGAGGAAUGUCUGGGAAACUGCCUGAUGGAGGGGGAUAACAACUGGAAAAGGUAGCUAAUACCGCAUACCAUCAGAUGUGCCCAGAUGGGAUUAGCUAGUAGGUGGGGUAACGGCUCACCUAGGCGACGAUCCCUAGCUGGUCUGAGAGGAUGACCAGCCACACGGGAAUUGAGACAUGGUCCAUACUCCUACGUGAGGCAGCAGUGGUGAAUAUUGCACAAUGGGCGCAAUCCUGAUGCAGCCAUGCCGCGUGUGUGAAGAAGUCCUUCGGGUUGUAAAGCACUUUCAGCGGGGAGGCGUUACCCGCAGAAGAAGCACCGGCUAACUCCGUGCCAGCAGCCGCGGUAAUUC
rnacentral:rRNA from 1 species